rnacentral:rRNA from 1 species
UACGUAGGGUCCGAGCGUUGUCCGGAAUUACUGGGCGUAAAGAGCUCGUAGGCGGUCUGUCGCGUCUGCUGUGAAAUCCCAGGGCUUAACCCUGGGCCUGCAGUGGGUACGGGCAGACUAGAGUGCGGUAGGGGAGACUGGAAUUCCUGGUGUAGCGGUGAAAUGCGCAGAUAUCAGGAGGAACACCGGUGGCGAAGGCGGGUCUCUGGGCCGAUACUGACGCUGAGGAGCGAAAGCGUGGGGAGCGAACAGG